UUUCUACCCUCUUUGGAAUAUUCUGACUUGCAAGGAAAGCACUUUCCUUGGAAGGUGGUGCAAGGCAAGUGAGAUGCUUACCUUAUGGAUCCCUGCCCCCACAGGAAAAUCCUAACAGUUCCAGAAGCCAAAAAUACUUAUAAAAAUCCAGCUUUACAAGGAUCCUUCUGCAUGCAGCAGAGAGGUGGAUGACACCACAUACACUGCCACAGCUCUUCUCCCAUCAUCUGGGACUCAAGACUCGUUUCACAUCCCACUGGGAGUACAGCACCAUGGGCUGCUCACUGGCAGCAAUGCAGAGGUCCCUGGCAAACCUUAUGCAAAUUAUCCCAGUGACAAAUGAGGGAGGUGAGAAAAACAAUAGAUCCAGAUUAAUACUAAAUUAAAUAAACCCGUUUCCAAAG